rnacentral:lncRNA from 1 species
CGGAAGUUGAAACCACCUGAUUAUUGAUCCAGUUUCAGGGAAGUUCUGUUAGUUUCUUUCGUUUUUAUUUUAUUUUAUUUAUUUUCUUUUUCUUUCCUUUUAUGCUUUCUUUAUUUUAUGUUUUCGUUGUUAGUUUUUCCCCACACAAUGAGGACAUUGUGUUGUCUAAGUGUGGGGGAGUUUUUAUAUCUUUUGUCUUGAGUCCGUGUGCUCAUUUUAUUUUGUUAUUUUUUUUUAUGUUUGUGAAUCUGUCUAUCCCAUGAUACGAGAUCUUUUAAUUACAAUUUUAGGCAACCAAAAAUAAAAGUGAUUUCAAAAUUAGGAUAAAGGAUCCAAGUGGGAAAAAGAGGAUUAUUAAAAUUGAACUUAUUUAAUGCUACACUAUCAAUUAGGAUAGUAUUUCAUGAGAGUUAUUACAAAAAUAUUUC